UUUUUUUUUUUUUUUUUUUAGUAGAGAUGGGGUUUCACCACAUUGGCCAGGCUGGUCUCGAACUCCUGACCUGAGGUGAUCCGCCCGCCUCGGCCUCCCAAAGUGCUGGGAUUACAGGCAUGAGCCACCGUGCCCGGCCUUUUACAGAUAAUUUUAAGUCAAACUUUGCAUAGUUUUCCAAGUUGAGUUAAAAUUCUCUAUGAAAAUAAUUUAUCUAUCAUUUACCAAAUGUAAUACUGAAAAUAUGUGAAAGAUACUGAUUCACAGAUUCAACAAACCCAAAGAAUCCCAAGCAUCAUAAAUACGAAGAAAUACUCAACUAGGUUCAUCUUAGUGAAGUUGUCAAAAAUAGAGAUCAUAAAAUUAGCAUAGAAAGCAGCAAAAAUUAGAUACUUUCUCGUCCAUGUGGUAAUGUAUUAGAACUUAAUUCCUUUUUAUGGCUGAAUAAUACUCCAUCGUAUGUAUAUACUACAUUUUGUUUAUCCAUUCAUCUGUUUUUUGGACACUUGGAUUGUUUCCAUUUUUGGCUAUGUGAAUAAUGCCACUCUGAAAAUUCAUGUACAAGUAUCUGCUUUCAGUUUCUUUUGAAAACCUGCUUAUUUUUGACAUAUCUUUUGUUUAUAAGCACAAAUCUAUUUAGAAUAAAGCCAGUGGAUAUUUUAUUUCCACAAUCCUUUCAUAAAUACUGUAAGCUCUUACUCUGAGCCAUCAAUAGUUACCAAGAGCACUAUAUAAUAAUCAGAAGCAGCAGCCAGCAGUUAUCUACUGACAAACUCGUUUUUUAUUUUAUUUUAUUUUUUGAGACGGAAUCUUGCCCUGUCUUCCAGGCUGGAGUGCAAUGGCAUGAUCUUGGCUCACCGCAACCUCCGCCUCCCGGGUUCAAAUUAUUCUCCUGCCUCAGCCUUCCGAGUGGCUGGGAUU
rnacentral:antisense_RNA from 1 species